CGAGUCGGCCGGGCGGCCGCGUCGGGUCUUUUCGAAGGCCCGCCGAGGAAGGUCCGGGCUCCACAGGGCAGGGUGGUCGGUAACGCCGACCCGGGGUGACCCGCGGGACAGUGCCACAGAGAGCAGACCGCCCCUCCUCGCGGAGGGGUAAGGGUGAAAGGGUGGUGUAAGAGACCACCAGCGCCCACGGUGACGUGGGCGGCUAGGUAAACCCCACCCGGAGCAAGGUCAAGAAGGGACGCCCUCCGGGGCGUCCCGCGCGCGGCGUUCGAGGGCGGCCCGCCCGAGUCGCGCGGGUAGACCGCUUGAGGCCGCCGGCAACGGCGGUCCUAGAUGGAUGGUCGCCCCUUCGCGCAAGCGAAGGACAGAACCCGGCCUAUAGGCCGACUCGUCCG
rnacentral:RNase_P_RNA from 1 species